rnacentral:lncRNA from 1 species
UUCUGGUACCUUUAACACCUGUAGCUCCCUGCCUGGCUCAGUUUACUUCUGGGUUCAGCUGCCUGCCAAGACGCCAGGUGACAAUCGGGGCUCUCCAAGGCCGCUCCUGCCAUUGUCUCCAGCUGUGGGGCCCAAGAAACCACACACGUGAGAUGCACAGUCUGAUAUGGCCGGCUCUGCCCCUCUGGGUUUUAUAUCUUUUCAAAGUGAUUCAUUGAAAGCUGUGGCUGUUGUCAGCUGGGUGCUGGGAGCACUGAACAAAUUCCCUGCCUAGGUUGUGUAGACAACGUGGGGAAUGGGAGACCCUUGGGAUCCUGAUGGUCUCGCCAGGCCUACUGAGACAAGUGUCCAGUGCCAUCGGACCUGUGCUCAUGCAGUUACUUACUACCAUGUGAAUCUGACCAUCAAAAUUCUUCCUACAUUUCAAUUCCCCCAACUCUAAAAUGAGGAGGUUGGGCUUGAUACCAUCUCAGAACUCUUCCAGCUAUAAACUGCAAACCAAUCAGAGACCUGAUUGAUAAAUGCUACACGUGUACAUCUCAUUGAGCUCAAGGACAGAGCUUCCCCUCUCCUCACUGUCUGCAGUGCCUGGUCCAGGCAGGACCUGCCAUCAAGUCAAUGCUGAAAAUGUUGGCCACACAAAAACAUCUGCACCGUCGGAAGGAACAGAAGCUCCAGAACAAUGCCUGGGCUUCAAGAUCCAAUGGAACUUUGUCAGUUGAACGCCAGUCUUGAAUCCAGGUCUUCUUGCUUCCAAAUGUGGUCCUCUGCUGUCUCAUCAGCCUCUUGGGGCCUCACGCUGGGCUCCAGUUCGGGGUGUGAGGAGACGCCAAAUGCUUCUCAGAAUGGCCUAUCUGGGAUCUCGCCCAGUGCCUUUCUCCCUCCUCUUGCUAUUUUUCGUGUCUUUUCUCUUCCCCCUCUCCCUGUGUCGGGCGUGUUUACUUGCAGCAGCCAGAAAGACCACCUUCCACCCGCCCUCUCUUCGGUUCAGCUGCACCUCUCUACUCCAAUAAACCGUUUGCAUUCCAUCUGGUGAGCGUUUGCUCUGAAGACAUUUCCUUGUCAAUCUCUCCCGCCACAUUAAAAAUCUGUCAUUACGAUUGCAUCGCCGCCUGGCUCCUGAGAUUUCUGACUGCUUUAUUGCUCUCCUCAUUUUUUUCUCUUGCCUGCUACAGCCGAGAAGCAGAAAUAAAGGUUUGUUGUUGAAACAUGGCCGGGAGGAAAGUAGGAGGCACACAUCUGUCAAGACAUUACCUUUCUUCAACCAGGGAUUAAGGUGUUUUACGGCACUCGCUACUGAGCAGUCACACUGAAUAAAUUUUCUCAGUAGAACAUAAAAAUGAACUCAUACAUUUUGAACCAAGUUUCUUCUUUCCAGCCAGCCCCGAUCAUUAUGCAGUGGCACCCGCAUACAGGGGCGCCAGCGAGUUAGGAAGUUUCUCAGACCCAUCCCACCUCCCGCCAAAGCUGCAUUAUUUAAAUGCCCGUUGAGGCGAAGGAAGCAUCGGGAUUAAGGGGAGAUGGUGGCUGUGAACACUCAGGCUUCCUCAGCUUGUGGGAGAGAACAGAAAGAUUUAAAAGAAACCUGGCCCCAGGUGUCCUCACUCAGGCCUGGCAAUGCCCGAUCUUGCUUUAAGAGCCGGAUCAAAUCCCUUUCUGUGGGGAGUGGCCCCUGGUUCCUCCACCAUCCUGUCCCCUCCUCCCUGCCCUGUAGGAGCACUUAUGUGACAACUGCCUGUUUCACAGCCCAUCCUCCUACUUUCUUCUCUAUCCCGGAACCUCAUGCUUACAAGACUUUACAGUGGCUAUUAAGAGCGAUGUAACCAUAAUAUUUUGGAGGGCUUUGUUUUGCAUUCUAAACUUUGUACAUGGAUUAGCCCAUUUAGACUUCCCAGCCACCCAUUAAAGUAGGUCAUUCUGCUCUCAUCUUAUAGAUGAGGAAACUGGGAUAGAAAGUCGUGUUAAGCACCUUGCAGAAAGUCAAAGAGCUAGCCAGGGACAGACCUAGGAUUUGAACCCAGCAUCAGAACCCCUACUUCUAAGACCAGCAGUCUGUUGUUAAGUGCUGUGCUAUUCUGCCAAGGGCAUAGGGCAUGGGGACAGAGGAGUUUAGGAAAGGCUUUGAAACAACUUUCUGGCACAGCAGCGUCUUGGUAAUGAGCAAAGGUGCCUGGGAGCGCUAUCUUGUCCUGGUACCCUCUGCCCUGGGGGCUGCCACAGCCCCACCCAAAGUUACAGAGCAACAGGAUUGGUGACCUGGGCUGAUGCUGCAUCUGAACUCCCUUUGUGACUUUCUCCACUAUUUCUCUCUCUCUCUCUCUUUCACACACACACACACACACACACACACACAUACACACAAUGUCCUCUCCACCUUUCUGACUAUGCUAUUCUCUCUACCUGGAAUCCUGAAAUUCUCUCUAUUAUUUUUUUAAAGGUAGGGAAAACUAUUCAUCCUUCAAAACCUUUUACUUUCUGUGAAAUCUUUCUUUACCCUUCAAGAAUAAAAUACAGACUCCCCACAACAACAACAACAAAAACAACACCCCGCGUGUCUUUUCUCAUCCCUGAGUAAUGGCACCCACCGAGUUGUAUUAUACAGGAUCUGUUUUCAGGUCAGUCUCCCCGAUAACCAUCACAAAAUUCAGCACCCCGAUACACACUGAGCCCUUAGUAAUCUUCAUAAUAACCCUAAGAGAUAGCUCUGCUCUCAUCUCUUAAACUGAAGACCUUCUGUUUAGCACCUCAAUACCAUUGUGUUCUCUGGAUGGCCUAAUGGAACCAGCAGUGCAGUGAGGUCUGGGAGCAAGACUUGGGGAUCUGGAGAUUGCCUGGAAUUGAGGGCUGGAAGCUGGUUGUGGUUUCUAUGGUUUCUAAGAGCUGCCCUUGAACCAUGCAUCCAGACACCCUCAAGGCAGGGCUUGCAGGAGGCACCUCCUUAUCACCAGACCUAGGCUCAGGACCUGGCAGAUAGUGCCCGCAGGGAAAGAAACUCUGCUUUGCUACCAGAAACCUACUUCUAAGACCAGGCUUGGUUUUCCUGGAUGGCCUUGCUGCUUGCAUUGCUUAUAAUGGUAAAAGUCUGAAAGCAGCCGGGAUGUUCAGCUAAACAGGAAUCCCUAUGAUAAUCCAGUCAUGCAAAAGAGCCCUAUGCAAUCGUGAAGAAAAAUGAGGUCACUCUAAAUGUGCUGAUACAGAAGAGUUAACAAAAUUAACUAUUGUUAGCUGAAUAAAAAGCAAGAGGCAGAACAGCGUAUCACACAAAGAGACAAACAUGCAUGAUAACAUGUAGACUACUCCUGAAAGAAUGAAUAAAAACCAGUGGUCAUCCCCAAAACAAAAAAUAAUUUUUCUUGUCUAUCCAUUUUAUGUAGUUUGAAUUUUUGGCAAUGUGUAGGUCUUAUUUGC